CGCCGAUCACCAAGAAUUUCUUGUUGGCCGACAACUUCCAAUCCAUCAUCCUCCUACUCGAGACCAUGUGUCUAGUGGGUCUACGGGGGGAGGCACUAGUCGUAUCCUCUACCAACUCGACACAUUCUGGAAUAGACAGGUGUUGUGGAGUAUCUGGGACGGAAGGCCUCUUGUGUGGCUUCCUUUUUAGUGCCCCAGGGAACAAAUGUGCCCAAUCGGGGGACUCCUGAGGAAGCAUCUCCUGAGGGGGCGUCUCCUGAGGAGGCGUCCGCUGCAAGGGUGAGUCCUCAUAGUCCACCAUAGGAGCCCCGGAAAGUGUGGGCCCCCGUGGUGAAAAUUCACCCUGUGGUGCCGUCUCAUCUGCCGUCCCAGGCUGGAGAGGGGACCAGUCGGGGGUCGCGGAAGAGUAACGAGGGGACAUCACCGAAGAAAGCCCCCGCUCCUGUUCUUCAUCCCGAAAGUCGAUCAGGAGAGGCGAGGAGGCCGUGGGUCCCCCUGGUGAUCCCAGAGGAAGCCUCCUGCGAGAUGCAGGAAUAAGCUGGGUGGGCGGAGCCUCGCCGAGGGUGUCCUGGGCAGGCCCGCUGUCCGUGGCCCGGGGCUGUGUCACCCUCUGCUCCUUGGGUGGUUCCGGUCGACGAGGAAGGAAGAUCGGGGCAACCCGUGCUGGAGGGAUUGCAUCCCGAUCCACCUCAGGAGACCAAUCUGGAGCCACGGCGUCGGUGCUGGUAGCCACCGAGACCCGGGCGACGACCCGAGCCGGAGGGCUGCUAGCCCGUACCACCCCAGGAGCCCCGUCAGGGCCCGUAGGGUCAGUAUGGGUGCCCACCGAUACCCGGGUGGCGGUCUGGACCGGCAAGGACUGGGCCGGGCGUACCACCUCCGCGUUGACAGGGGGGUCGGCGAAGGCCGCGACGAUCAGAGCCUCGGCCUUCCCGAGGGUGUCCCCCAUCAGUCUGCGUCCCAGAUGUUUCUUGGCCCAUGUAGAGGCCAGCUGAAAAGCGGGUCUCCAAACCUCGUCAAUAAAACUGGUUAUCUUGUCCAA